GAUAAACGCUGGCGGCGUGCCUAAUACAUGCAAGUCGAACGGUAAGGCUUUCACAGAUUAUUUAACCUUGUAAGUCCCGAUUUUUCGGGAUACUGCCUGAGUUAUGCCACUGGCUAGUGGACAUAGUUGAAUAAUGCGUGAAAGUACACGAGUGGCGGACGGCUGAGUAACGCGUAGGAAUGUACCCCAAAGUGAGGGAUAAGCACCAGAAAUGGUGUCUAAUACCGCAUAUGGUCUAAGGAUUAAAGCGCACGUCGCGCUUUGGGAACAGCCUGCGUAUGAUUAGCUUGUUGGUAGUGUAAAAGACUACCAAGGCGACGAUCAUUAGCUGGUCUGAGAGGAUGAUCAGCCAGACUGGGACUGAGACACGGCCCAGACUCCUACGGGAGGCAGCAGUAGGGAAUUUUCCACAAUGGGCGAAAGCCUGAUGGAGCAACGCCGCGUGCAGGAUGAAGGCCUUCGGGUCGUAAACUGCUUUUAUUUGUGACGAUUAUGACAGUAGCAAAUGAAUAAGGAUCGGCUAACUACGUGCCAGCAGCCGCGGUCAUACGUAGGAUCCGAGCGUUAUCCGGAAUAACUGGGCGUAAAGAGUUGCGUAGGUGGCAUAGUAAGCGAGUAGUGAAAUCUUGUGGCUCAACCAUAAGGCUAUUGCUUGAACUGCUAAGCUAGAGUGCGAUAGAGGUAACUGGAAUUCCAAGUGUAGGAGUGAAAUCCGUAGAUAUUUGGAGGAACACCAAUGGCGUAGGCAGGUUACUGGAUCGCAACUGACACUGAUGCACGAAAGCGUGGGGAGCAAACGGGAUUAGAUACCCCGGUAGUCCACGCCCUAAACUAUGGAUGCUAGCUGUUAGGAGUAUCGACCCUCUUAGUAGCGAAGCUAACGCGUUAAGCAUCCCGCCUGAGUAGUACGAACGCAAGUUUAAAACUCAAAGGAAUUGACGGGGACCCGCACAAGCGGUGGAGCGUGUUGUUUAAUUCGAUGGUAAGCGAAGAACCUUACCCAGGUUUGACAUCCUUGGAAUUUCUCCGAAAGGAGAGAGUGCUUUAUUGAGCCAAGUGACAGGUGCUGCAUGGCCGUCGUCAGCUCGUGUCGUGAGAUGUUUGGUUAAGUCCAUCAACGAGCGCAACCCUUAUAGUUAGUUGAAUUUCUCUAGCUAGACUGCCCCGGUAACGGGGAGGAAGGGGGGGAUGAUGUCAGGUCAGUAUUGCCCUUACACCUGGGGCUACAAACACGCUACAAUGGCCGGUACAAAGGGCUGCCAACCCGCGAGGGGGAGCAAAUCCCAUCAAAGCCGGUCUCAGUUCGGAUUGCAGGCUGAAACCCGCCUGCAUGAAGCUGGAAUCGCUAGUAACGGUAGGUCAGCACACUACCGUGAAUACGUUCCCGGGUC
rnacentral:rRNA from 1 species